rnacentral:rRNA from 1 species
GAUGAACGCUGGCGGCGUGCCUAAUACAUGCAAGUCGAGCGAACAGAUCAUGAGCUUGCUCCUUUGAAGUUACCGACGGACGGGUGAGUAACACGUGAGUGACCUACCUAUGAGACUGGGAUAACUUCCGGAAACCGGAGCUAAUACCGGAUAACAUUUACAACCGCAUGGUUCUAAAGUGAAAGAUGGUUUUGCUAUCUCUUAUAUAUGGACCCGCGCCGCUAUUAGCUAGAUGGGAAGGUAACGGCUUACCAAGGCGACGGAUACGUAACCGACCUGAGAGGGUGAUCGGCCACACUGAAACUGAAACAACGGUCCAGACUCCUACGGGAGGCAGCAGUACGGAAUCUUCCGCAAUGGGCGAAAGCCUGACUGAUCAACGCCGCGUGAGUGAUGAAUGGUUUCGGCUCGUAAGACUCUGUUAUUGAGGGAAGAACAAAUGUGUAAGUAACUGUGCACAUCUUGACCGUACCUAAUCAGAAAGCCGCGGCUAACUACCUGCCAGCAGCCGCGGUAAUACGUACGUGGCAAGCGUUAUCCGGAAUUAUUGGGCGUAAGCGCGCGUAGGCGGUUUCUUAGUCUGAUGUGAAAGCCCACGGCUCAACCGUGGAGGGUCAUUGGAAACUGGGAAACUUGAGUGCAGAAGAGGAAAGUGGAAUUCCAUGUGUAGCGGUGAAAUGCGCAGAUAUAUGGAGGAACACCAGUGGCGAAGGCGACUUUCUGGUCUGUAACUGACGCUGAUGUGCGAAAGCGUGGGGAUCAAACAGGAUUAGAUACCCUGGUAGUCCACGCCGUAAACGAUGAGUGCUAAGUGUUAGGGGGUUUCCGCCCCUUAGUGCUGCAGCUAACGCAUUAAGCACUCCGCCUGGGGAGUACGUCCGCAAGGUUGAAACUCAAAGGAAUUGACGGGGACCCGCACAAGCGGUGGAGCAUGUGGUUUAAUUCGAAGCAACGCGAAGAACCUUACCAAAUCUUGACAUCCUUUGAAAACUCUAGAGAUAGAGCCUUCCCCUUCGGGGGACAAAGUGACAGGUGGUGCAUGGUUGUCCUCAUCUCGUGUCGUGAGAUGUUGGGUUAAGUCCCGCAACGAGCGCAACCCUUAAGCUUAGUUGCCAUCAUUAAGUUGGGCUCUCUAGGUUGACUGCCGGUGACAAACCGGAGGAAGGUGGAGAUGACGUCAAAUCAUCAUGCCCCUUAUGAUUUGGGCUACACACGUGCUACAAUGGACAAUACAAAGGGCAGGUAAACCGCGAGGUCAUGCAAAUCCCAUAAAGUUGUUUUCAGUUCGGAUUGUAGUCUGCAACUUGACUACAUGAAGCUGGAAUCGCUAGUAAUCGUAGAUCAGCAUGCUACGGUGAAUACGUUCCCGGG